AGAACGAACGCUGGCGGCAUGCCUAAUACAUGCAAGUCGAACGAACUCUUCGGAGUUAGUGGCGCACGGGUGCGUAACGCGUGGGAAUCUGCCCUUGGGUUCGGAAUAACAGUUGGAAACGACUGCUAAUACCGGAUGAUGACGAAAGUCCAAAGAUUUAUCGCCCAGGGAUGAGCCCGCGUAGGAUUAGCUAGUUGUGAGGUAAAGGCUCACCAAGGCGACGAUCCUUAGCUGGUCUGAGAGGAUGAUCAGCCACACUGGGACUGAGACACGGCCCAGACUCCU
rnacentral:rRNA from 1 species